CUGCACCUGUGGGAGGCUGGUCAGCACUCGUGCAAAAUUGGUCCCUGCAGCCGUGGCUGGAAGAAGAGAAAGCUAAGGCUGACGGAUCUGAGCAGUGCACAAGUGUCUGAGGCACCGUAUAGUCCUUUCAGUACAAACGGGAAAAGAUUUUGAUAAAAUUCAACUAUUCAUAAUUUUAAAAAAAUUUUUUUGAGGAAGAUUAGCCCUGAGCUAACAUCUGCUGCCAAUCCUCCUCUUUUUGCUGAGGAAGACUGGCCCUGAGCUAACAUCCGAGCCCAUCUUCCUAUACUUUAUAUAUGGGACGCCUACCACAGCAUGGCUUUUGCCAAGUGAUGUAAUGUCUGUACCCAGGAUCCAAACCGGCAGACCCUGGGCCGCCGAAGCAGAACAUGCGAACUUAACCGCUGCACCACCAGGUAUAUCUAACAAAAAUAUGACUUUUAUUGUGGGAAAAAGUUUAUAACUUUAUGGAAAUAAGGCCUAAAUAUAUGGAGAUAGAAACAUAUUUGUGGAGCAAAAGGACUCAAAACUUUUUAAAUUUUAAUUUGUUCCAAGUGAUCUGUAGCUUAUAUUUAAUCCCAACCGAAUUCCACAAGAUGUUUUUAAAAUUUGAUAUCCUUCAUUCAAAAUUUUACAUGGAAGAGUAAUGGGCCAAGAAUAGACUAGAAGAUAAAGUGGGAAACUUUUCCCAUCUAAUCUCAAUAUUCAUUUACCUCUCUGAUAUUAAGCUAUAGCCAUAGUAAUUAAGAUAUUGGCACCGGGAUAGACAAAUUGACGGAUGGAACCGUAUAGAAAGCCCAGAGGCAAACACACUUGCAUGGAACAGAAGUGGUGUCGUUGAUUAGCAGGAAAAGGAUGGACUGUUCAAUAAAUUGUGGCAGGAUAAUUGGUUAUCCACAUGCAAAAAACUCUGUCCCUACCUCACAUCAUAGAGAGAAAUCAACUCCAAAUGGAUUAAGGACUUAAAUGUGAAAGGGAAGACUAAAAUUUUUACAAGAAAAUAUAGAAGGCUAUCUUCAUAAUGAAAAGUAAGGCAGAGCUUCCUAAACAAGAUCCAAACCAUAAAGAUGGGUUCAACUUGAUUAAAUUAAGAGUUUCAGCACAUCAAAAGUCACCCUAAAGAAAAUAAGAUGACAAUCUACAAUGUAGCAGAAAAUAAUUUCAACUGAAAAAUAGUGUUCAGAAGAAAGAAAUAACGGUCAAACCAAUAUGAAAAAGGCAACAAAAAAAAAUCACAGCAGAAAAUACGGGCAAAAUCCCUGAAGAGACAUUUCACCAAGGAGGAAACUAUCAUGGCCAAGAAACACAUAAAAGAAUGCUCAUACACAUUAGCAAUCAGGAAAAGGUAAACUAAACAGUGAGUUACUGUUUCACAACCAUAAGACCCUGGAAAAACACUUAGAGAAAAAUCUUACAGACAGGCAUCCGAAACAUGGACAAGAAAGUGCACACCAGUAUGGUUCACAAUACGGAAAAAAAAAAUUUAGGAGACAAUCCAACCAGCACUGUAUUAAGUAGGGGUCUCCAGAGCAACAGAACCAAUAGUAUGGAGAGAGAGAGAGACAGAGAGAGGGAGAGAGAGAGAGAGGAAGAGAUAUAUUUGAAGGAAUUCCUUCAUGUGAUGAUAGAGGCUGGUAAGUCCAAAAUCCACAGGUUGGGCUGGCAGACUGGACACCAGAGAAGAGCUGAUGCUGCCGUCCAAGUCCAAAGGCCAUGUGCUGCACAAUUCCCUCUCACUCCGCGGAGGUCAAUCUUUAGUCUAGUCAGGCCUUCAACUGAUUAGAUAAGGCCCACCCACAUUAUAGAGGGAAUCUGCUUUACUCAAAGUCCACUGAUCUAAAUGUUAAUCUUAUCAAAAAACACCCUCACAGAAACAUCCAGAAUAAUGUUUGGCCUCACAUCUAGGCACUGUCAUCCAGCCCAAGUGGCACAUAAAAUUAACCAUCAAAACAACCUUUCUCAUCUUAGUGAACGACAUCUUCAUUCUCCCAGUUCCUACAAAUUUCCGUCAAUAGCAAACAGAACAAUGGAUUGUGCAAGAGUCACUGGAUGAAAAACUACACAGCAGAGCAAACGACCUAUAAAACAAACCACAGCUACCUUCACCC
rnacentral:lncRNA from 1 species